rnacentral:rRNA from 2 species
AAGGAGAAUUGAAAGAUGGCUGCGGSUAUCACUUACAGAUGGASCCGCGGCGCAUUAGCUAGWUGGUGAGGUAACGGCUCACCAAGGCGACGAUGCGUARCCGACUUGAGAGGGUGAUCGGCCACACUGGGACUGAGACACGGCCCAGACUCCUACGGGAGGCAGCAGUAGGGAAUCUUCCGCAAUGGACGAAAGUCUGACGGAGCAACGCCGCGUGAGUGAUGAAGGUUUUCGGAUCGUAAAACUCUGUUGUUAGGGAAGAACAAGUAUCGUUCGAAUAGGGCGGUACCUUGACGGUACCUAACCAGAAAGCCACGGCUAACUACGUGCCAGCAGCCGCGGUAAUACGUAGGUGGCAAGCGUUGUCCGGAAUUAUUGGGCGUAAAGCGCGCGCAGGCGGUUUCUUAAGUCUGAUGUGAAAUCUUGCGGCUCAACCGCAAGCGGCCAUUGGAAACUGGGAGACUUGAGUGCAGAAGAGGAGAGUGGAAUUCCACGUGUAGCGGUGAAAUGCGUAGAGAUGUGGAGGAACACCAGUGGCGAAGGCGACUCUCUGGUCUGUAACUGACGCUGAGGCGCGAAAGCGUGGGGAGCGAACAGGAUUAGAUACCCUGGUAGUCCACGCCGUAAACGAWRARUGSGUAAGUGUUAGAGGGUUUCCGCCCUUUAGUGCUGCAGCUAACGCAWUAAA